GACGUAGGGCGCGAGCGUUGUCCGGAUUUAUUGGGCGUAAAGAGCUCGUAGGCGGCUUGUCGCGUCGACUGUGAAAUCCCGCGGCUCAACUGCGGGUCUGCAGUCGAUACGGGCAGGCUAGAGUUCGGUAGGGGAGACUGGAAUUCCUGGUGUAGCGGUGGAAUGCGCAGAUAUCAGGAGGAACACCGGUGGCGAAAGGCGGAUCUCUGGGGCCGUAAACUGACGCUGAGGGAGCGAAAGCAUGGGGGAGCGAACAGG
rnacentral:rRNA from 1 species